rnacentral:rRNA from 1 species
UACGUAGGGGGCAAGCGUUGUCCGGAUUUAUUGGGCGUAAAGAGCGUGUAGGCGGCCAGGUAGGUCUGCUGUGAAAACUCGAGGCUUAACCUCGAGCUGUCGGCGGAAACCAUCUGGCUAGAGUCCGGAAGAGGAGAAUGGAAUUCCCGGUGUAGCGGUGAAAUGCGCAGAUAUCGGGAAGAACACCCGUGGCGAAAGCGGCUCUCUGGACCACAACUGACGCUGAGGCGCGAAAGCUAGGGGAGCAAACAGG